UACGUAGGCAGCGAGCGUUGUUCGGAAUUACUGGGCGUAAAGAGUGUGUAGGCGGUGCUCCCAGUCUGUUGUGAAAUAUCCCGGCUUAACUGGGAGGGUGCAGCGGAAACUAGAGUGCUAGAGGGUGGGAGAGGUAAGCGGAAUUCCUGGUGUAGCGGUGAAAUGCGUAGAUAUCAGGAGGAACACCUGUGGUGUAGACAGCUUACUGGACCACUUCUGACGCUGAGACACGAAAGCGUGGGUAGCAAACAGG
rnacentral:rRNA from 1 species